rnacentral:rRNA from 1 species
UCCAGACUCCUACGGGAGGCAGCAGUGAGGAAUAUUGGUCAAUGGACGAGAGUCUGAACCAGCCAAGUAGCGUGAAGGAUGACUGCCCUAUGGGUUGUAAACUUCUUUUAUAUGGGAAUAAAACAGGGUAUGCAUACCCUCUUGUAUGUACCAUAUGAAUAAGGAUCGGCUAACUCCGUGCCAGCAGCCGCGGUAAUACGGAGGAUCCGAGCGUUAUCCGGAUUUAUUGGGUUUAAAGGGUGCGUAGGUGGUUAAUUAAGUCAGCGGUGAAAGUUUGUGGCUCAACCAUAAAAUUGCCGUUGAAACUGGUUGACUUGAGUAUAUUUGAGGUAGGCGGAAUGCGUGGUGUAGCGGUGAAAUGCAUAGAUAUCACGCAGAACUCCGAUUGCGAAGGCAGCUUACUAAACUAUAACUGACACUGAAGCACGAAAGCGUGGGGAUCAAACAGGAUUAGAUACCCCCGUAGA